GACGAACGCUGGCGGCGCGCCUAACACAUGCCAGUCGAACGGUGAAGAGGAGCUUGCUCCUCGGAACAGUGGCGGACGGGUGAGUAACACGUGAGCAACCUGGCUCUAAGAGGGGGACAACAGUUGGAAACGACUGCUAAUACCGCAUGACGUAUCGGGAUGGCAUCUUCCUGAUACCAAAGAUUUUAUCGCUUAGAGAUGGGCUCGCGUCUGAUUAGAUAGUUGGCGGGGUAACGGCCCACCAAGUCGACGAUCAGUGGCCGGACUGAGAGGUUGAGCGGCCACAUUGGGACUGAGACACGGCCCAGACUCCUACGGGAGGCAGCAGUGGGGGAUAUUGGACAAUGGGGGCAACCCUGAUCCAGCGACGCCGCGUGAGGGAAGAAGGUUUUCGGAUUGUAAACCUCUGUUGACGGAGAAAAAAAUGAUGGUAUCCGUUUAGAAAGCCACGGCUAACUACGUG
rnacentral:rRNA from 1 species